GCCGGGUGCGGUGGCGCGCGCCUGUAAUCCAAGUUGAGGCUGAGGAAGGCGGAGCGUUUGAGCUCAGGAGCUCUGAGCUGCAGCGGACUGUGCUGAUCGGGUGUCCGCACUAAGAUUGGUACCGAUAUGCUGCUCCUGGGGGAACCCGGAACCAGCAGGUCGUCUAAGGAAGGGUGUACUGGCCCUGGUCGGAGACGGAGCAGGUCAAGACCCCCGUGCCGCUCAGUAGUGUGCUCGCGCCUGUGAGCAGACGCUUUAGUGCAGCCUGAGUAAUACAGCGGGACCCAGUCUCUU
rnacentral:SRP_RNA from 1 species